GUAAGGUUCAUUUCUUUUGCUUUCUGCUGGAAGAGUUGUGAGAGAGAGAGAGAGAGAGAGAGAGAGAAAAGCUCAAAACUUAUAUGGAAUUGAAGAAGACUUGAAGGAGCUAAGGGAAAUCAUCUCUAAUUCUGAAAUUUAAACUUGAGGUCACGCGCUAUUGUUUGUCUGAUCCGUCUGUUCUACUACUGCAACUGUCUGUGAUCAAGCGCAUGAUUAGGCCUAGAGCUUCUUCUGUCUGGAUUCUGUUUUUUUUGUUAGCCAACCUUUGUGCCUUUCGUGAAGGUUUCAGAUAUGUCAAGCGAUUAUGACUUUUGUGAUUAAAGUUUAAGUUUUGUUUUCUUGUUUUGGUUUAACAAGUGUUUUUGUUUAUUCUGUAUUUAGGACUAAGUUCCUUUUUGGUCUAGCCUAUAUAUAUGAUGAUGUGUAAAUGUAUGUAUAUAAACUUUAAAAUUUUUUGUCUCAUAUAAAUCCGCAUAGCUCAAUGGAUAUUGUAUAUUUGUUAUUUGCUUCCGCUAGCCCCUAAUAUUAUGUUAAUCUAUCUCAGAGGCCUUUGAUAAUCCCAUGAUUACUGGUAGUUACAAUGCUAAACCUAUAGGGGCAGGUUUGGGUCGUGACAGUUAGGGUUAGGGUUAGGGUUAAGGCUGGUGGGAGUGGGUUGUGUGGAUUGAGAAAUUUGUGUGAAGGUUAAAAAUGUAAUUGACUAGAAGGAUAAAUAUGUAAUAAAUUUUCUUAA